GAUGAACGCUGGCGGCGUGCCUAAUACAUGCAAGUCGAGCGAAUGGAUUAAGAGCUUGCUCUUAUGAAGUUAGCGGCGGAUGGGUGAGUAACACGUGGGUAACCUGCCCAUAAGACUGGGAUAACUCCGGGAAACCGGGGCUAAUACCGGAUAACAUUUUGAACCGCAUGGUUCGAAAUUGAAUCGCGGCUUCGGCUGUCACUUAUGGAUGGACCCGCGUCGCAUUAGCUAGUUGGUGAGGUAACGGCUCACCAAGGCAACGAUGCGUAGCCGACCUGAGAGGGUGAUCGGCCACACUGGGACUGAGACACGGCCCAGACUCCUACGGGAGGCAGCAGUAGGGAAUCUUCCGCAAUGGACGAAAGUCUGACGGAGCAACGCCGCGUGAGUGAUGAAGGCUUUCGGGUCGUAAAACUCUGUUGUUAGGGAAGAACAAGUGCUAGUUGAAUAAGCUGGCACCUUGACGGUACCUAACCAGAAAGCCACGGCUAACUACGUGCCAGCAGCCGCAGUAA
rnacentral:rRNA from 1 species